rnacentral:rRNA from 1 species
CCCUACUGCUAUCGGGGUGGGACUAAGACAUGCUAGUCGAGCGCCUUGAGCUAUGGCGAGGCGCGGCGUACAGCUCAGCAACACGUGGCUAACCUACCCUUAGGACGGAGACAACCCCGGGAAACUGGGGCUAAUAUCUGAUAGGUGAGGAGGCCUGGAAUGGUUCUUCGCUGAAAAGGCGUUGAAACCAUGCUUUUCAGCGUCGCCUAAGGAUGGGGCCGCGCCCGAUCAGGUUGUUGGUGGGGUAACGGCUCACCAAGCCUAUAACCGGUACGGGCCGUGAGAGCGGGAGCCCGGAGAUGGGCACUGAGACAAGGGCCCAGGCCCUACGGGGCGCAGCAGUCGCGAAAACUCCGCAAUGCGCGAAAGCGUGACGGGGCUACCCCGAGUGCCGUCCGCUGAGGAUGGCUUUUCCCCGGUGUAAUGAGCCGGGGGAAUAAGGAGAGGGCAAGUCUGGUGUCAGCCGCCGCGGUAAUACCAGCUCUCCGAGUGGUAGGGACGAUUAUUGGGCUUAAAGCGUCCGUAGCCGGCUUAGCAAGUCUCCUGUUAAAUUCAGCGACCUAAUCGUUGAGCCGCGGGAGAUACUACUAGGCUAGGAGGCGGGAGAGGCCGACGGUAUUCUCGGGGUAGGGGUGAAAUCCUAUAAUCCCGGGAGGACCACCAGUGGCGAAGGCUGUCGGCUAGAACGCGCUCGACGGUGAGGGACGAAAGCUGGGGGAGCGAACCGGAUUAGAUACCCGGGUAGUCCCAGCUGUAAACGAUGCGGGCUAGGUGUUGGGGUGGCUACGAGCCACUUCAGUGCCGCAGGGAAGCCAUUAAGCCCGCCGCCUGGGGAGUACGGCCGCAAGGCUGAAACUUAAAGGAAUUGGCGGGGGAGCACCACAAGGCGUGAAGCUUGCGGUUC